ACUCCGGGCUCGCCACGCCGGGGAGGCGAGGCCCGCCAGCGCGCGGCCUCCCCGGGACACGCCUCUCCGCGAGGGUUCACUUGGCCCCCCAAGGCCCAGGGGGGCGCGGACAUCCGCCACGUCCCCGAGGCGGCGGCCCUUCGGCCUGAGUCCCCGUCACGCGCCCGGCGCGGAGACGCGGCCCCGACGAGUCGCGCGGGUCGCCCGAGGCGCGGCCGGGCGCCCGGGGCCUCAGCCCCUGUGGGCCAAUGGAGGCGCGCGGCGGCCGGGCCACUCCCUCUCCCGCCGGGAAACCUCCUCCUCCCCGGCCCCGGCGCGCGCGGGGAUUGGUUUCCCUGCGCGCGGGAUCCCGCUUCUGCUCCCACCCCGCAGCACCCAAGUUUCCUUGCUUCCCAAGGGGAAAAAAAUGGAUUUUUCUUGUCUCUCCCGGAAGCCGUGCUGUUAGACAUGAUUACCUCAGCGAGGUCACUGGGACCAAAUCACAUGGGACGCUUAACGAAGGACCAGAUUCAAAACAGAUUAUGCCUCGAAGUAUCCUAGGGCAUUUUCACAGGUUUUAAGGAGAAUUUAGAAAAGCUAAAGAAAUGUUUCAAAGCAGUGACGACUAAAAGAGCAUCGAGGCCUCUCAUUUUGUCAGGAGGAAUUCAACGUAGAAGAUGACAAAAGGUCAUGAAAUACAGGCAUACCUCAGAGGUACUGCAGAUUUGGUUCCGGACUACCUCAAUAAAGCUAAUAUCACAAUAAGAGGAAAUUUACGAAGUCAUACCGUUGGGAAACACCUGUGAAUCUACCUACAAGAUUAACUACGGUGGAGGAUUAAUCUGCCCAUGAAAAAAGGAAGAUGUUAGCUACUGAAAAUAUUUCUUGAGUUGAUCAGAUUUCAAUGUUUUUCGGCCAAUAAUUUAUAUCCAUCAGUAGAAAUACAGGUUUGUGAAAAGUUUUCCUAAGAGAAGUUGUAAAUGGAAGAAAAUCUAUGGUAUCAAGACACAAGUAUUUUAGAAAUCCCAACAAUAAAGAAUGCUAUAACCCAUUUACUAGGAAAAAAUAAUAUUAUAUUUAAAAUUAUAACAAAGGGGGAUGAGAAAUGAUAAACCUCUGCAGUGAUUUAACAGUAAACAUUUCAAUAAUAUAAUAUUAAGUAAGAAUACAGUAGUAAAAUUACCCUUGGUUGUUUGUUUAAUAGUUAUUUAUAUUAAAAAAAGCACUUGAGAUGACUUAUGUGUACACUAUGAUAAAAGUACAAUAAAAGAAAAAGGGGUGAAGAAUAAAGAAACCAGAGAAGUAAGAUAAAGGUGGAGAUAAGGUAAGUACUUGUACAGCUGCUAGAUACAGCCAAAAGUUUGACUCUGAGCUUCCUAUUGACAAACACAAAGAGGGCAACAUAACUGAUUAUGAUUCACUGAAUCUAGGUGAUAAAAGCAAACCAGAUGUGGAAAAUAGCUCUUCUUUUAUGGUUGUGUUUUCAGUGUAGACUUAUGAUAUACCAAAGGGCAACUCAGGAGAAGUAACUCAGAGGAGCAUCAAGAUAAUGUGUUUCAGGUGAACUGAUAGUUUGUGCUAGUCUGGUUUGCUCAUGGGGUAAAAUCAAGCAUACAUAAGGGAAUGGAUGUAUGAUAAUCUUUUAAGCGAUCAAAUAUCAAUAUUGUUUUAAUUUUUGCCAAAUAAGAAUUGUACAGUAGAAAGGUUGAAGUUAUAUUCUCUGGCUAGAACCUGGAUGACAAAUUAUUUUUGCUAUUUUUGAGUACAUCAAUAUGCUUUAAUAGCCACUUCAGAAACUAUGUAGCCUAGCCAGGAUAUGUGCCCCAAUAUUAAUA